CUUGAGUUCGGCUUUGAAGCCCUCGGUGUCCCCGGGCUGGCUGUCCUUGGCCAGCACCUCCAUCAGUGACUCCAGAGAGGACAGGCUGGGCACGGCAGCGGGGAUCACAGCACGGCGGGGCAGGAAGGGGCUUUGGGCCCAAGCCCUGCAUUGCACAGGCCACUUACAGCCACAUCCAGCUGGGAGCUGUCACCUUGAGCCCUGCACCAGAGUCACCUCCAGCCUCCAGCUGCCAAGCCAGUUCUGCUCUCAGAGGCCUCGGGGGACGGUGGCAAAAACCCUUGGGAAACUGAGGCAGAGUCUGCUUCAAGGAGAGCUGCAGAGAGCUUCUCUGUCUGGGGGAUUAUUUUCCUCCUGGCAACGUGAGGAGCGAGAGAACCUGCAGAAGUGAAUGGAAUCAAGUGCAGGAGUUACUGCUCACUUCCAUGGGAGCAGAGGGACUGAUUUUCCCUUGGUUUCCCCCACUGCAUCCUGAGAUGUCUGUGCAGCUGCCGGGCCAGCCAUUACAGCAAGACUCUCAAGAUGGGUUUUCCAAGGUUGGAUUGAGAUGGUUUUAAGAAUUAACAAGCAUCUGUUAAUACUUUUUUUUUUUUUUUCAACAGAAAAUUAUUUGGGAGUUGGGGGUCUUAAAUAAUUUUAGUGCUUUUUCCCACCCUUUUUCCCCCUGUUUUAUAAAUGGGAGGUGGCAGAAGCCUCCCCAGAGCUCAUUAUUCCCCAUCCCAAACUGGGAUCCAGCACCCAGCAUGGCUGUGCUGCUGCCUUCAUAGGCAUGGGGGAGGUGGGGGAAUUUUGGGGCAAAAAGGCACAGAGACACUGAGUGUCCUUUUGUUGGCAUGGUCCAUGGUGUCACCAUGGAUAUUGUACCUCCUUGCAUCCAGGCAGUCACAGGAUGGGGACAUGCUGUAAAAAGUGAAUCCAGACCUCCAAAGAAUAAGGCUUUUAUUGUAUAUCAAUAUACACAGUAAAUAUGUGACUCCUCCUAACACGCUCUGGAGAAAAAAAAUCCUGUCUGAAAUGGAGCUUAUUGAAAGGAAAUAAAUUGCUCCCAUAAAAAUGCUGAUCCCUCCCUACUUCUCAAAACUGAAACAAAAUCGUUUGCUGUGAGCUGAAGACCUUUCUUCUCUUGGCUCCUGGUUUUCCAAGAAGAGCAGGGAACAUGAAGGAAAAACAAGCCUUCCCCAUUAAAACCCGCUUAAGUGAAACUCCAGUUUUCUCUUAAACUUUGCUUGGAAACAUUUGGAGCAGCUUCGUGCAAACCAGUUCUGCUCUUUGAAAGGCCAUUAAAAUAAAAAACACCCAACCCAAAAUAGCCAUCUCUGCAAGAAGCAUCUUGUUUGGACAAAAGUGGUUUGUUUUACACCCUGAAUCCAAACACUCCUGGGGAAAUGUUGUGAAAUCCGCCGUGCUGGCGGUGCGGCGGCUCCAGGGAUGUUUUGUGGGACAUGGACAAAGCUGGUGGGUGCUGCCACAGUGAUGGCCACCACCAGCACUUCACCGCUGAUUGUCCCAGCUGCUGGAGUAUCCCUGGCUCAGCACAGUGCGUUUUCCAUCAGGGUGAAGGCUUGCAGGGCUGACUUCUGGCAGGGAGGGAUUUUGUACCAGCGUUCAGCCCCACUCUGAUCUCGCCCCAGAGCUCCUGUGGCCUCUGCAGAGCCCAUCAUAUGCAGGAGCUGAGAACACUCACCUUGGGACAAACAAAAACCAUUUUCCAACAAGGUGUUUAAGCCCUUCUUAUUUUUUGGAGGGCUUUUUUAACAUACUCCGUGUUAUACUCAGAGCACAAAAAAAAUCCCACAGUAAUUCCUAAGCCAGCAAUAUACACACCAGCAAUCCUGAUACAAUA